rnacentral:rRNA from 1 species
CWACRWCWCCGUGAGCAACCUGCCCCUGACUCUGGGAUAAGCGCUGGAAACGGCGUCUAAUACUGGAUACGAGUAGCGACCGCAUGGUCAGUUACUGGAAAGAUUUAUUGGUUGGGGAUGGGCUCGCGGCCUAUCAGCUUGUUGGUGAGGUAAUGGCUCACCAAGGCGUCGACGGGUAGCCGGCCUGAGAGGGUGACCGGCCACACUGGGACUGAGACACGGCCCAGACUCCUACGGGAGGCAGCAGUGGGGAAUAUUGCACAAUGGGCGCAAGCCUGAUGCAGCAACGCCGCGUGAGGGAUGACGGCCUUCGGGUUGUAAACCUCUUUUAGCAGGGAAGAAGCGAAAGUGACGGUACCUGCAGAAAAAGCGCCGGCUAACUACGUGCCAGCMGCCGCGGUAAUAMAA